AUAUGGUAGGUCAAAACUGUGUAGGCAUUAUUCAUUUAUAGACAACUUGCACAAGGUUUUACUUUGCUAUAGAUUUAUUAAAACGGUUUAAAGAGAAAAUGGUUCAUUCCACUAUGCAAAACACUUACAUUUUGUGCAAUAUCUUCAAUUAGGAGGGUUUUUUUUCUAAAUACAAGGACAAACUUUUAGCAGUUCAGUUUUAUGUCAAAUAAAAAUGUCCUUAUUGCUCAGAUACAUGCCACUGGUCUUUAAAUGAUGCCAGCUUAUUCUAAAAUGCAUUGUCUAGUAUGCAUCGACUAUUGUUUUUUUUUAUAGCUAUUAAAAAGAAGUGCUAAAUCUCAUGCUACAAGCCGAAAAAUCAAGCGUUUAAAAGUAAAGCUCAGUUGCUCUGUAGGUGUCUGUUGUUGCUGCUCAGUAGCUUAGGGUAGGAAGUGCCAAUGGAGCGUCCAUGUCUGUUGACAACAAGCUCCAGUUGGUACUGGUCCAUAUUCACCACUGCAGUGCUGGUUUUUUCGGUGGAUGUCAGGAAGAGGAUGGUAAACACGGCCAUCUCAAACUCAGGACUGACACCAAUGAAAGUACUGCCCACUGGUUUCAGCAGACCAUGCCAGCCGAACUGCACAUUCAAGACGUGAUCAUCUGCAUCCGGCUAAUCGGUAGAGAACAAGAGAUUUCAAUCUUGUCAAAUUCCACUCUUUCUCACGUUAUACAUUCUUUAAUUUUCAGAGUAUCAACUUUCUUGAGUAUCAAGAUUCUCAAAUCUCAUGUCAGAAGAUGUUGAUUACUUUUCUAUAACAACAGCUGUGACAGUAUUGAUGGCUGCAAUUCAAAUCACAGGUUGAUUUUAUUAAUAUAGUGUCUUCAGGACAGACGACUUUGUGCUCUCCGCUUUCUCUGUUGAGUGAUUAGAUGAGUUUUUUUUGUCUUAAUAACUUCAAGAGAAAGAAGCAAAUGAGGCCUGAUUAUAGCUUCUAUAAUAUACUUGAUAACAGGAAAUAACUUUCAAAACAUUAAAUGUAACUAUUAAUGAAGUGGUCUUGCUUAAUAAAUGAAAUGAUCAAAUUGUUGGACACAUUGCUGCUGUAUAAGAGGAAUCUAAAUAAUGCCUCUGAAUAAUGUUUCUUUGUAAGGUCAGUUUCAAUAAUAAGCAAAACCAUUACAGACUUCUCUCCAAAUUGGUGUAUUGUUACACCCUACACAUUGUUGUUAACUCCUUACUGUGUUUUUUGUACUUAAUGAAAAAUACACAUUUUCUUUGCACUUACGUUAGAAAAUCAGCUUAUCGUUUUUACUUAAAAACAACAACAACAACAACUUUUACUUUAAAUGCCUCCAACUGGUCAGCAAUAUCUUUCAGUUAACAGUAGAGGUGUUAGACAUUACCAUAUCAUUCCUUGUUGCUUUGUAACCCUUAUAAUCAAGGAGAUUCUGCUUUUCCUGGAGGUAAAACUGGACCCAGUUGUGGAGACCCAUAAUAUCACGACCGGAUUGCGUCUCACCAACAAACACAUGUUCAAAGCCACUGGAGUCCUCUCUGGUCAGGUAGGUAUAGAUUUUACAAAAAGAAAGAAAGGAAAGAAAAAGUUUCACAUUACUAAAUGAGCAAGUCAAGUCAAAUUCAACUGUAGACCUCUAGACCUUCUGUUAUACAUACUGUACAGGUCUAUAUGUAAGCAUAAAUGCAAGCAGAUCAUAGAGAGAGAGAGAGACUCACCCUCCAGUUCUAGCUCUGUGGUAAAGUCGGAACCACAUGUAGUUCAGCUGACUCUUAAACUGCCUCAGGUCUGACUUCGAUUUUCCCUUUUUAACUAAAUACUGGUGAGCCCUCUGCAAAAGAAAAAAAAAAAAACCAAAAUAUCCAUCAUUACAUGAAUUAGACAGAUGUCAGUGUUCACUCUACCACUUCAAUCAACACCAGCCGUUACAUGUUUUAUUGCACACAAUAUUAUAUUGUGGGUUUGAUUUCCCAGGAGCUGCAUCUAUGAAUACAAUGUGACAUCAAGAAGCAGUAAUUUCAUGUGAAUUUACUACAUACUGUAGAUUUAGUACUUUAGGAGAAUAACAAGCACUUGGCUACAUAACCUUUGGCAUUUUACAAUAUAUUUUGUAUUGUUUUUUUUUUUAAAAAGAGAAUGCUUUUGACAUGUUAAAACACAUUCAUAGAGGGAAAUGCAAACUUUCCAUUCAUCUUCAAUAAUUGCUUCAUCCUGGUCUGGGUCACAGUGGAUCUAAAGUCUGUCCGAGGAACACUGAAUUUGGGGUGAGAAUAUAUCCUGGAUCGGAUGAUAUUCUAUCUCAGGGCACCAUGCUCACUCAGCAAUUCAGAGUCAUCAGCCUACCUACUGGCAUGUUUUUGGGAGGUUGGAGGAAACUGAAGAACCCAGAUGGAGCCCAUGUGAAUGGCGAGACCAUUCAGAACUCAGCGUAGUCAAUAACCUGAAUUCAGGAUCUUAAAACUAUUAUUUCAUUUAUGUCCAUACGAUCAUAUUAACGUACAGUACAUUGUUUGAUCAUUAUUACUUUAUAGUGGAAGAACAUCUGACAAUCCUAAAACACUAAAUUACAUGCUUAGUUUUCUUUCGUUAUUGGUAGGGGUUAGGGUAUAAAAAUGUUUUGCACUCGACUGAUAGGUUUUUAAGCAACAACAUCAUACACAUUACUGUAGUGUUUAUACCUUCAUGACCGCUGUGUCUAAGAUGGCAUCCAGGAAAGCGUUAUUCUCAGCUAUCUCAUCAGUAGUCACCUUCUCAGAUACACCAGUGGACCUUUCAUAGUUAUCCAGCAGCUUCAUGAAACCUAGAAGGGUGUGACAGAGAUGCUUAGGUUGACUAAACUCUUUUGAGCUUUCGAACAAAUGACUUAAUCUGUAUGAUCACAGACUGUUUUUUUCCCAUCUGAUUAUGAGAUUAUGGCAUUUAUAAACAUAUAAUCCCAUUAUUAUUUAAACAUCAACAUAAAAACACCAUUUGAUAAAAAGGGCAUGAGAAUGACAUAUGUAGUAUAUUUUAAAAAAAAGGAAAAAUAAUCUCCUUGAUCUGAAAACAGAUUUAAAGUUCUCACAAUGGUCAUGAAAUGGAUUUUUUAUAGACAAAAACCUUACAGAAUCUUUCAUUUCACAUCUCAAUAAAGAUGGACAGGCUUUGAUCUAAAGACUUGCUGACAGUAGUUCAUUUUACUAGGGCUCUCUGAUUUUUUUUUUCACCAUCAAACAGAAAUGAGACAAUAUUCUCCUUGCAUUGGUGCUCUUAUCACGGUGCAGGUGCUGCAUUAAAUAACUGCUUCACAGUGCAUGAAUGGUUCUUUGUAUCCAAGCAUGAAAAAUGGAAGCCUCACAGUUGGAUAAAGAAUCCUGGCACGCCUGUGAGAAAGACAUGUCCAGAGCUGCUCCUGGGAACAUUUAAGCUUUUGUGCAAACAAAGCAGAUCUUUAUGGCAUGUGUUUUACGAAGUAGAGCAUGUUACAGCAAAGCAGAUACUGUAUAUUCAAAACUAAAAAGAACAUUUCUCUUACAUGUGUAUGUAGUGAUGGAUUUCAGUUUGUUCUCGUUCACAUAGGAGAAGAGAGGAGAUGAAGCAUGAUCGACUGCGACUUUGCUCCCUUUGGGGAUGUAACCAGCUCGACCCUUUUUUGUUUACAAAAAAAAAAAAAGGAAUGCAACCAUGUACACAAA
ensembl:lncRNA